rnacentral:rRNA from 1 species
GACGAACGCUGGCGGCGUGCUUAACACAUGCAAGUCGAACGGAAAGGCCCUGCUUUUGUGGGGUGCUCGAGUGGCGAACGGGGGAGUAACACGUGAGUAACCUGCCCUUGACUUUGGGAUAACUUCAGGAAACUGGGGCUAAUACCGGAUAGGAGCUCCUGCUGCAUGGUGGGGGUGGGAAAGUUUCGGCGGUUGGGGAUGGACUCGCGGCUUAUCAGCUUGUUGGUGGGGUAGUGGCUUACCAAGGCUUUGACGGGUAGCCGGCCUGAGAGGGUGACCGGCCACCUUGGGACUGCGAUACGGCCCAGACUCCUACGGUAGGCAGCAGUGGGGAAUAUUGCACAAUGGGCGGAAGCCUGAUGCAGCAACGCCGCGUGCGGGAUGACGGCCUUCGGGUUGUGAACCGCUUUCGCCUGUGACGAAGCGUGAGUGACGGUAAUGGGUAAAGAAGCACCGGCUAACUACGUG